rnacentral:lncRNA from 1 species
AUGAGAGUGCUCAUAAAUUCCUACGAUAUGGAUCCAGUAAACAGACAUUCCAUGGAUGUAAUUCAAAAGGAGGGUAAAUGUUGCGGUUGUCGCUCGAUUGAUGACUGGCUGCCAAAAAACGAAGUACCCUCUGCAUGUAUUGAUGCCACAUUUACAGAAAAUAUAAGUUUUUCUUCGGAAAAAAAGAUAGUUUUUAGGGGAAUUUCAAAUGAUACAACGACUGCUCCUCCAUUCAUAGUCCUUGGAACAAUGCCAACAGGGUUUUGUCACAAAAAUGGCUGUUAUUCGUCAUACAGGCAGUUGAUUUCAAGGAAUUUAAGUAUUCUUCUUUCAAUUUUUAUCCUAAAUUCUGUGCUUUUGGGAAUCAGCAUUUAUAUUCAGAGUUACUUUUUUGUUGAAACUGCUCUGAAAGAGGAAGAACAAUGCAUUGCAGUGGCUGAGGCUUCCAGAGAGGAACAAAGGCAAAUAGUCCGACUGAGAAACCAGUCGUCAGGAAGACUUUUUUGUUCCACUCCAACUCAAUACGACGAAUCAUUUGAAAUCGUCGAAUUCACGGAAUCGGAGGAAGAUAUAGUUUACCCAAAAUCUAAAUGGGAAAAAUUUUGGCAGACUUUCAUUGGUAGUGAGAGUCUAUUGGCUUCGAGGUACAUGUCUUCUCAAAGAAGACCACAUAGGAGAGCUUUGGUAAGAAUUCAUAAUUUUCUUGUGUCACUAACUCAUUUUUUUUCUUGAUGCUGCCUCGGAAAGUGCUUGAGUGUUUGCUUCUGAUCAAUCAUAGAAGUACUUGAUAGUACACAGACAUGGGAUUAUAUUUUCACUUAAUGUUGUUCUAUUUUAUGGCUGACCUGCUUGUGAGGCUGUUUGAUUUUUUCUACAACUCUUGAUAUGAUCAGGGUAAUGGUCUGGCUCUGGUAAUGAUUCUCGAUCAUUUUGAACAUGGAGCAUCCAUCUUGCAGAUUUGAGCAAAUAUUAAACAUGCGAAUAUAAUGGAGAUAAUGCACAAGUAAAGCAUUCAAAAUUUUCUAUUUUUGCGAGUUAAAACACCAAAUUUCAUUUUAAGUAGUUUGAGAGAAACUUUAAAAUCCAGUAAAAAGUUUCCAGUCCCUUCACUUUAAGUGAGUCAUUACUCUUCGAUUUGAGAGCAAAAUUACACCAGUCAGUUUAACACCCAGCUUUUUUUUGCUGGUCAGUUGAGCGACUGCAGCUUACAAAUAAUUACUUUUAGGGUUAGAAGACAGGUUCAACGAAAGUGUCUUUGAAUUUAUUUUUUGUUUCAGAAUUCUGAGGAAAAUGAUGGGAACGACAUGGUUCACUGGAUGUACUACUUCUAGAUAACAAAAAAAGGUACCGUUUUAAACAAAAAAUAUAAUUGUGAAAUUGAUUUAUUUUAAAAUUCUUUUUUCCUCUAUCAAAUGUAUGGGAACAGAUUCUUAAUUGUAUGAACAUGUAAAGUGAACUCAAGAAAAGGAACCAAUCUGCGCUUAAAAAUAAAAACAUUCAUAUAAAAAGAUCCUUUUGGUAAAAUUGAUGUACAUGAAUUACUAUAGCUUUUAAAAUGAUGCAACAUUUUUUGUUAUUUAUUUAAAAUCGAAUAAAUUACAUUUGAUCUUUCCUGCAGAGUACAUUUCUGUAAAGAAGAAGAAGAAAAUUUACAUUGACCUUGAGACUAAAAUAAUUAAUUAUUCUACAAUUAAUGCGAGGCUAAAAACAAUCAUACAAACACUGAAACGUAUCGUGCAGAAAUAGAUUCUUCCUGAGGUUUUUCUAACAUUUGAAUUAUAAAUUUUCAAAAAAAUGGGUGUUGAGCAAGUUAUAUAGAGCACGGCUCUCUUACUAACGACCAGAAAUUCAGUCAAUGAUUCACAUUGAUAUUUUAUACCUGGGCCUUAGACAAGGUUCGAGUUGAGAUCUUGUCCGGAAAAAGUGUCACAUGUUUUCCCUUCAGAAUCUUACGUAGAAAUCGAUUCACAAAACAAGGAGUUAAAAAAUCAACUCCAGAACGAAAUAUUAGUAUUUUUAACACGGAGUAAAUUCCCCACAAGAAAUUUUUAACAAAUGAUAUACUGCAACAUGCUUUAAUUCAUGCCUUGUCUAGAGGCCCAUUCAAAACAGCAUUUAGAAAAUGAGUUGACGUUCAGUCAUGACAUCACAUAUAUAAUUUUUGGAUUAUUUCUAACUUCCCCUUCUAUUAUUUUCUUGAAUGAAACUAGUUAUCAUUAAAAGGGCACCAUGGUUUCAAACUAGGCUUUCAUUAUUUUUCAGGGAAUUUUUGAUAGCUAAGUAAAAAACCGUUGUUAGUCUAACAGAGGUUUCAUGGAAAGACACGGAAAUGAUGACAAUGAUACAAAAAAAAAAAAAAAAAAAAAAAAAAAAGCAGGGUACAUCCUAGAUGCAAUGAACUGGAGAAACAGAAAUGAUUAUUGGAUUCUCGGGUUUUCAAUUUUUUAAUUUUCUCUUCUGUUAUUAUCUUUGAAGAGGCUUAUUUUUUUUUAAAAUAAAUCACUCAAUCCUACCUAAAAUUGUUUCUAAGAGGGUACAAUCUAAAUUAGUUUAAUUUUUUUUAUAUCCUUCCGAAGUAGAGUCCACACCAAAUAAGUUUACUCACCUUUAGAACACUGGAAUCACCAAAGAGGAUCUGCCAUCUUGAUUCUUCCAUUUACUAUUGAUGCUAAACUGAAAACAGCUAAUUUUCUGUUGCACGCUAAAGGUGCACAAACUUAUUUUGCAUAGACUCUAAGAACAUUAACAUUCAACAUUCACAUUUCACAUGGCUGCUAAAAAAGCAGGCUCUUCAAGGCAAUGACCUACUGUUUGGCCCUGUGCCAAAGGGCAUUGCAAGUAAAAUUGAUUACCUAUUUUAUAAAAAAAAUUAGAAUUAGUAUCACCAAUAUUUUAGAUGCAGGGCAUCUGUUCUAUACUUCAGUGGCUCCUCCGAAAAAGUUGAUCUGGAUGAUUUUAAAGAUUUUUUACAAGUAUUCUAUCCAAAGUGUUUUAUAUACAUGCAUUUGAUAAAUGGCAAUAAAAAAAUUCAGGUACCUGGAUCAAUUGAAGUACUAAUUAGAAUGAUAAUAAUACAUACUGUUUUGUUACUAAAUCCAAAAGGAUUGGGGUAGUAAACCUUUUGGAGGGGGUAUUUGUCCCUUUUUCAAGAUUUGACUUAAGGCUUCUUUUAACCUGUUUAAUGGAGCUCCACCACCCUCAGGAGAAACCUGCAAAAAUUGAGGUAAAAUUAAAAAAAAAAAAAAAAUAACUGCAAAAGGUGAAAAAAGUUAUUGUCUAAGUUCAAAUCAAUGAUAAUGAAAAGAUUAAAAGAAAAUUUAGGUUUCGAGAGAAAAGAAAGUUGAUGGAAUACAAUAUAGAUAUAUCUUCUGAACCUUCUUGCAGAGCUUGCCAAGUCCACGUUCAUCUGUUUUGAGCAAGAUGAAAAAAUGCAUCUACGGUGUGGCUGCUUUUGCUGCAGUGCGCUUAUUUUAUACCUAUAUUAAGUUGGGAUUUGAUGAGUUUUGCAAAUCAACAUGUUUCCAAAUGCCCGUAACCAUAGAGCAUUUAUUUCCAGCGCUAUUUCAUUUUUAUGAAAAAAAAAAAGAAUAAGGCUGGUUUUGCAAAUGUGCUCCUCAUUGGUUGCAUGUUCUUCCUCAAUCUCAUUUUUACAAGGAACUUUGUUGGGUCAUUUAUUUCAUUUGGUGCAUUUGUAUGAAAAAUAAACAUUUUUAUUAUAUAAUAAUUAGGCACUAAAGCCGAUGGAUAUCAAACCUAAUCUAGCAGUACACUCAUUUUUUUUGUCGCAAAUUUCGAUUUAAAAAAUUGAAAUUUUUAAAUAAUUUGUAAUCAGAGCAAUCGUUCACACCAGUCAUCUUUGUAGAAUUUAAAAUUUUUGAUACAUAACUCUAAAGUCUGAGAUGGAAUGAAGAGGUUGUUUUUUUGAAACCUGUAAAUGUGGUCGAAAAUACAGAGGAGGUUAAAUUUUUUAAGUUAUUGAUGCAAAGAAGAGACGAUAGACAAACUGCGACAAAGUUGAAGACAGAAAAUUCACUUACCUUUUCAAUUAACGGAAAAUAUUCUUUACAGAUAAAUACUAAUAGCUUUUGGAAUUGUUUCUGGUAAAAUUUAGCCAUGUCAGGUCCUGCAACUUGUAUAAAAUCUAGGAGGAAUGUUGCUGUGACAUCAGGUACAGGCUCUGAAAAGUACACAAAUUAUAUUAAACACCUAUUUAUAAAUUGAGAAAGGCGAUUUUUUUCUUAAUUUGUAUUGAAUAAAGGAUAUAAUCAUUUUUAAUCAAUACAGUAAUAAAUGAAGAAAAUUGGGAGCAGGCGACUGUCCACAGGAAAAAGGAUUCGGAUAUCCGAAAAUUCCAAAUUGAAAUAAUUGGGCCACAAUUUAACAGAGUGCUUUACAACAUUUCGGGGUAAAAGAUACCCUAAAAUAUCAGACCAGACCAGAAUUGUGACGAUCAAAAAGACUCUGCAGGGAAAAUCAAAAUGAUUCGGAGCUGGCUUUUGGUUACUAUUUGAUAUGAUGUUUUUUUACGACCUCCUGAGCGAGAUGAGCUUUGAAUCAUACUUUCUAUGCACUUAUUUUGAGAGAGGCGAUGCUAAGAAGUGAAUUUUUCAGCACUUUACUGUGCAUUUUCUUUGAGAGAUGAGGUGCUGCCGCUGUGCCCCAUAUGUAGCCAGUUGAUGCGGCAUCUAUCUGUAACCCUCCCAGCCAGUUGGUAGUGAGGAAACAGGAUCUCUCCUUAAUCACAAACAUUUCUACUGGAAGAUGCGUGUAAAAGUACUGGAAAAUUCACUUUUCUUGAAUAGGCACUUGGAAAGUUCAAUUUUUAAAUUUCAUUGAGC